UAUUCUGGUUUUACUUCCUGUUUUUCUUAGUUUUUUCCUUCAUUGUUUCCGCCUCUAUUUAGUUGUCUGUGCUUGAGCUCUGCUCCCACCUGUGUCUUGUUUGCAAUUAGCCCUCUGUGUAAAUACACUCCUGUAUAUGUGGUCUGCUUUUCUUCCAGAGUUUCUUCCAUUCUUCGUUUCCUCGCUGUCUGAGUCUCUGCCCGGCCUUCACAAAUCCCCCAUCAUCCCGCUUGAUUGACAGGUGGACAUCAGCCCGUCAUCAGAUAAGCGCAGAGGCAGGUUGUGGUGCAUUACUUACUUUUUGAGGAAAGCUGACAGUGCUUUGACAAACUCUUGCUGGUUGACAUCUUUCACCGUGACGCUGGGCAUCUAGAAGGACAGUUGGAGACAGGGGCCCCACAGAGACGACAGGCAGGCGGUUAUGGACUCCCAGCUUAGUGACUGCAGCAAAAAAGGACCACAAGAAAAAGGAUGCUGAAGAGGGAUGGAGGGAGACUGCCCUCGUUUGGAAAGGAUGAUACCUUAUCCUAAACUAACCUCGCCUGCCGCUUAAUAUCCCAGCUUAAUUCACCCUUUAAACCUAAGUAACACUGACGGGAAUAUUCUCCACUUGUAUUGUAAUCCUACGGGUCAAAUAAGGUGGCGAAACAAUAUUAAAAAGCGAGUUUUUGA